UACGAAGGGUGCAAACGUUGCUCGGAAUUAUUGGGCGUAAAGCGCACGUAGGCGGCAUUGCAAGUCGGAUGUGAAAUCCCUCGGCUUAACCAAGGAAGUGCAUCCGAAACUGCAGUGCUUGAGUACUUAAGAGGAUCGCGGAAUUCCCGGUGUAGAGGUGAAAUUCGUAGAUAUCGGAAGGAACACCAGUGGCGAAGGCGG
rnacentral:rRNA from 1 species